ACAAACUACCUGCCAUGGGGACCAGGAUUCUCAGCUGCGUAGACCUUCGUCUCCUUGGAAGAGGCAAGUCAGAUGUCCAGUUCGUCCAGACUCUCCAGUCUAGUGACGAGGAGGGAUGGUGAGCGUGGGUGGGAAGAUGACAUCACAGUCGGCCUGUAGCUGGGAGAAGACCAUUCUGUCCUCAAGACUGUGAUGGCAUUGUGGCUGUUCCGUGGGGUGGCCCUCUGUUUCCUGGUCCUGGGCCUUGUGGACACAGAAGUAACCCAGAUCCCAAGAUUCCUUCUCAAAAGGAUGGGGGAGAAAGUGGUGCUGGAAUGUUUACAGGAUAAUGACCAUGAAAGAAUGUUCUGGUAUCGACAAGACCCCGGCCUGGGGCUACAGCUGAUCUAUUUUUCAUAUGAUGCUGACAACAAUGAAAAAGGUGAUAUCCCUGAGGGGUAUAGUGUCUCUCGGAAGAAGAGGGAGAAAUUCUCCCUGAUCCUGGAGUCUGCCAGCGUCUCUCAGACGUCGCUGUACCUCUGUGCCAGCAGUGCAUCCACAGUACUGCACAGCCACAUCCUCCCUGCACAAAAAAGAAAGUGA